rnacentral:ncRNA from 1 species
UCUGAAACAGGGCAAACCACUGGAAACGGUGGGACGCAAAGUCAUCGGUCUAAAGAGCUUCGGCUCCAUGACGGCAGGACUGCCAGA